AAAAAAGAGUUGGAGCUGUUGCAAAGUUUUGAAAAAUUCUGGAUCCCUGUGCCUAAUAAAGGGAAAGAAGCUUUCAGGACUGAACCUUUGAAAAAAGAAACUCAGAUAUGCCAAGCACAGAUCAUGAGUUGUUAGGGGGGAAUGCUGUGAGUUUUCGUCAGACAGGCUGGACAGGACCUCCUCUUGACCCUUUUCAUCUCCUGGCCUUGUUUACAUGCUUAUUAGCUUUGUGGUCCUGCAUUCCGCAGUGCGUUAGUUUGUCAACUGAUUUUAUUCAAAAUGGGGAUUAUGUUUUCUCAAUUUAUAAAUCAAAUAAUCCUCUUACUGCGUAGCUUUCAUUUCUAGAGUGUGCUUUGAGCAUGGCUCAUAAGUAACAUUUUUGUUUUCAAAACAGGAAAACAUGAUGUGCAGUGAUAAGGAAGACAGCAAAUAACCAAAGAGGGCUUUGUGUUGAACAGCUGAGAUGACAGCUCCUCACACGCCGAGUGAGUAUGGAGACCUUCAGGGGUUGAAGUGCUGCCUUCAGAGCCUCUUACCCAAGGAGGGAAUCCAGCUCCGACAGGGAGAUGGCUGUGUAUGCCCAUACUGCUAUACUUAGAAAAGUCAACCAUGAAGUCAGCGGAAAUUGAAAAACAUAUUUUUCCUGUUAAUGAAGGCAGUAUUUUUUUGUUAACCACUGUGAGUGGAAAGGCAAACUGAUGGCCAUCCUGAAGCCUAUGUGAGUCCUGGCUCAGACGUAAAUACGAGUUGGUUAUGUUCCUUCUUUCCCUUAGCACCACAAAUGCCACAUCUUCUUUUGCUGUUGAGGGUCUUGGCAGAAGAAAAGGAAGAGAGAUUUUGCUUUUUGUUGUAUAGGGAAGGUGAGACACUAGAACGUGAUGCCGGAAACAUCCUAUCAUUCUCACUCUGAAACUUCUCUCGUGUUCAUAGGGGACUCUGCCCGCCCCCGGACGCUCACCUUUGAAAAGCAAAGGCAGUUAUAUCCUUCCCAGAAACGUUCUUAUCACAGGGAAGAGAGGAAAGCUCUACGUUGAGGCAGCCUGUCCACUGCCGUGCAAGGAAAUUUUAAUAGUUGGCAAACCCCAAGCAGGGAGAUUAGGACACUGGGCGACAUGUACAGCACACAUUGUUACAGCCGCCGUCUGAACUUGGGCCAGAGGAUGGGUGGCCCAGGGCAAAGGCAGGAACCCUAGGGUUAUUUCCAUAUCCACCAGGGACUUCUGUGUAGCACUGGGCAGCCUCACUUUCUCCUUCUGACAAAUACGUUGGCAGCAGAUCCUGUUUGCUAGGAUUGUGCUUUUUUUUUUUUUAAUCUGUAAAAUGCCAAGCCGUUUGAAAAAUUCUAUCUCAGUAUUUAUCACUUGUGUUAAUUAUAAUAGCCAGGGCUCUUUUUUACUUUUUUCCCUUGGGCUACAGAAGAAAUGCCUGGUUUGGGACUGAGCUUGCAGGAUUCGGGAAUUGUGAGUGACAGAGGCCUAACAAAUUGGAAAGGACCACUGAGUGCUUCUUGGUUGGCAGGGCAUGGAACAGGGUCAAUGACCUAUUCAGGAAAAGAAUGGAGCCUCAGGUCUAAUUGGUGGCCAGCGAUAAACUGUGAGCCAUUCUCUUCUUAGAACAGUGUGCCUCAGGCAUGGCCAAGAGGCUUGCCCAAGUUCCUGGUGCUUGUACUCUUUUCUGUAUUCUUGGCACACUCUUGAAGUUAACCUCAAAACACCCCUGACCCAACUCUGGCCCACCAUUAAGGGUGUUGACGAUCUUUUAGAACUCCCAUAUAAAACGAAGAUCCUAUGGUUGGGGGGGGGGGGUUUCUAUUGUAACAGCGGUCGCAUUCUAGAAAUGUACUUUGUUGUUGGAACUCCCACAUUAAUGUGGUCUUGAGAAGAGAAUGUAAGACUUUAGAAAAACGAUACAGCUUCUGUGCCUCACGCUGCCACUGAAAUAACCCUUCCUCUCUGUACCUAAUAUCCCUGCUGCUAGAGAAGUGCCCAUUCCUACACAAGAUUACGUGUUUUGUGAACUGAAAGGUACCAGGCCGGCGGAAGAGAUUGAUGUGGAGCAGCUUGAACAUGGCCCAGCUUCAUCAGACGGUUUCCCUUCUGCAGUUCUGCAAGUUGAGAGCGAUAGUUUUCCCCUCCUAGUGAGGGAGACACGGAACUAAUACCGCCCUGGAAAAGGAAGAGAAGCAGAAUCAUUUGAGUGCAUGCUUCCCUGAACCUCCUCCAUCUUCACUCAUCUCCAGACAAGGCACGGGUAGACACUUCUUAGGACGAGUAAACAGAGUCUUUUGUGAGCAGUAACAGGGCCAGAACGGAACCUCCUUGGUUUUUUUAUAUCUUUAUUUGUUUUGUCCCUAUACCAGUGUUUUCACACCUGACCGGGGCUCCAGCAUCUUUAGUGGGAGGUGACUCAUAAUUGUAUCUGAGGCAGACGUGGAAGAAAUGAAGGAGGAAGAACACUGAUACACACGUGAGAAAAGAUUGAGCUGGGAUCACUACAACAGCCCAAGGUCACCAGGAUCCCCCUCUUCCUUCCUUUCAGCUUCUCCCUUUCUCUUUCACUCUCUGCACCCCCUAGUUGGGCAGCGCCGCCUAAGAGCAGAGGACGCUGCCCUCGCUAGAGCGUCGGCCACGAGCUCGCACACACGUGAAGAACAUGAGCCAGUCAGUCAAGUUCAACAGGGCUUGAGCCAGCUUACACAAAAGCACUUUAAUUGACAGUAUACAGUUCUCCAAAAUAUAGUUUUGUAAGAAAAUGGCAAUAAUUAAGUAUAGUCUUUACAAACAAGUUUCCCAGUGAAUUCCAGUGUACUUCAGACCCCUGUCCGCGAAGACACACGCUCCUGCAGUCGCCUGGGCAAACUAACAUUCACUACUAACAAAAAAGACACACAUCAAAUCGUCCUCCCCUCCCUUCCACUCAGUGCUGGGUUUUCACCAAACCUGGGCCGAUCAGCUUGUGACAGUGAUAAAAGAGAAGUCAUUGCUUUACUCUUGCCCCCUCGGCCUUCCUGGAGCUUGUUUCCUUUGAUCCACAGCCCUGCUAGGAGAAGAUCUGUAUGUAAAAGCUCAUUCAAAACUGUUUCUUGACAGUAAAGUAUCAGUCAUGUAA